AUACGUAGGGGGCAAGCGUUAUCCGGAUUUACUGGGUGUAAAGGGAGCGUAGACGGCGAUGCAAGUCUGAAGUGAAAGCCCGGGGCUCAACCCCGCGGACUGCUUUGGAAACUGUGUUGCUGGAGUGCAGGAGAGGUGAGUGGAAUUCCUAGUGUAGCGGUGAAAUGCGUAGAUAUUAGGAGGAACACCAGUGGCGAAGGGGGCUCACUGGACUUUAACUGACGUGGAGGCGCGAAAGCGGGGGGAGCAAACAGGAUUAGAUACCCGGGUAGUCCACGCCGUAAACGAUGAAUGCUAGGUGUCGGGGGGCAAAGCCCUUCGGUGCCGCCGCUAACGCAUUAAGCAUUCCACCUGGGGAGUACGUUCGCAAGAAUGAAACUCAAAGGAAUUGACGGGG
rnacentral:rRNA from 1 species